rnacentral:rRNA from 1 species
CGCGUAGGCGGCUAAGAAAGUCAGAUGUGAAAUUCCGGGGCUCAACCCCGGAGCUGCAUUUGAAACUUCAGAGCUAGAGUAUAGUUAGGGUAAACGGAAUUCCACGUGUAGCGGUGAAAUGCGUAGAUAUGUGGAAGAACACCGGUGGUGAAGACGGUUUACUGGGCUAUAACUGACGCUGAGGCGCGAAAGCAAGGGGAGCAAACA